rnacentral:rRNA from 1 species
UACGUAGGGGGCAAGCGUUGUCCGGAAUUAUUGGGCGUAAAGAGCUCGUAGGCGGUCUGCCGCGUCUGCUGUGAAAACUCAGGGCUUAACCCUGGGCCUGCAUCGGGUACGGGCAGACUAGAGUGCGGUAGGGGAGACUGGAAUUCCUGGUGUAGCGGUGAAAUGCGCAGAUAUCAGGAGGAACACCGGUGGCGAAGGCGGGUCUCUGGGCCGUAACUGACGCUGAGGAGCGAAAGCAUGGGGAGCGAACAGG